rnacentral:rRNA from 1 species
AGAUGCGAUCAUACCAGCACUAAAGCACCGGAUCCCAUCAGAACUCCGAAGUUA